AAGAAAUCAAAAAUUAGUUCAACAAUUAGUCAUACGGAAAUGUUGAAUAUUGACAUUAAUGUGAUAAAGAAAACGAGAGUUUCUGCAAAUAACCUCCCAUAUCUGAUGUGAAUCUUUCACGUCAUUCUAUAGUUCAACUAGUUCUUAAUAACUCAAAAACAAGAAGGAUAAAAUCCAUCAUUUUGUUUGGCUACCCAGAUCCCUCCUGUAGCUGUCAUACAGAGUGUGAUUUAUGAGUUGUAAGUUGUGCUGUGGAGCUUGACAAAGAGAAAGUGUCUUGCUCUAUCUACCUGGCUGGAGUGCAGCAUCUUGCAAUCAUAGCUCACUGCAACCUUGAACUACUGGGCUCAAGCAACUCUCCUGCCUCAGUCUCCUGAGUACCUAGGACUGAGGUGAAUGCCACCAAGCCUAGCUAAUUAAAAAUAAAUAAAUACAUUUGUAAAGAAGAUCUCUGUUUGUUGCGCAGGCUGGUUUUGAACUCCUAGCCUCAAGUAAUCCUCCUGACUUGACCUCCCAAGGCACUGGGAUUACAGGCCUGAGCUCUUUAGCCCAGCCACUUCCAUUUCCUGAUGGUUUUAUCAAUGUAUUCUUCAUUGUAUUGACUAUAAUCUCCAGUGCAAUAUUGGAUAGAAUUGGUGAGAGUGAACAUUAUAAACAUCUUUGGCAUGUCGCCAAUUUUGAGGGGAAAACAUCCAGUCUUUCACCAUUAGAUGUGCUGUAAAACACAGUGUUUUUGGUGAUUGUUGUUGCUGAUGUCCUCUAUCAGGUUGAAGAAAUUCCAUUCUAUUUUUUUAUUCAUGUUAGAUUCUGUCAAAUCAUUU
rnacentral:lncRNA from 10 species